rnacentral:rRNA from 1 species
UACGUAGGGUGCGAGCGUUGUCCGGAAUUAUUGGGCGUAAAGAGCUCGUAGGCGGUCUGUCGCGUCGGCUGUGAAAACUCGGGGCUCAACCCCGAGCCUGCAGUCGAUACGGGCAGACUAGAGUCCGGCAGGGGAGACUGGAAUUCCCGGUGUAGCGGUGGAAUGCGUAGAGAUCGGGAAGAACAUCAGUGGCGAAGGCGGUCUGCUGGGCCGUUGCUGACGCUGAGGCGCGACAGCGUGGGGAGCAAACAGG